rnacentral:rRNA from 1 species
CAGCAGCCACGGUAAUACGUAGGGUGCUAGCGUUGUUCGGAAUUACUGGGCGUAAAGCGCACGUAGGCGGAUAUUUAAGUCAGGGGUGAAAUCCCGCAGCUCAACUGCGGAACUGCCUUUGAUACUGGGUAUCUUGAGUAUGGAAGAGGUUAGUGGAAUUGCGAGUGUAGAGGUGAAAUUCGUAGAUAUUCGCAGGAACACCAGUGGCGAAGGCGGCUAACUGGUCCAUAACUGACGCUGAGGUGCGAAAGCGUGGGGAGCAAACAGGAUUAGAGACCCCGGUAGUCCCUGUCUCUUAUAC